CAUCAUGUGACACGGAAGUAGCUCCGAACAGGAAGAGGACGAAAAAAAUAACCGUCCGCGACGCCGAGACAAACCGGACCCGCAACCACCAUGAACAGCAAAGGUCAAUAUCCAACACAGCCAACCUACCCUGUGCAGCCUCCUGGGAAUCCAGUAUACCCUCAGACCUUGCAUCUUCCUCAGGCUCCACCCUAUACCGAUGCUCCACCUGCCUACUCAGAGGCUGAGGUGCAGAAGAUGAAUUUGCGUCCUGUGAGCCCAACAUUAGCUAUAGCAGAAAGUGAUCCAGGAGAAUAUUGAAGGCCAGUGGAAAGGCAACUUGUAUAAUCUUACAAAAACUCUAUCGUCCGAGCUUUGUGCACCCAGGGGCUGCCACAGUCCCCACCAUGUCAGCCGCAUUUCCUGGAGCCUCUCUGUAUCUUCCCAUGGCCCAGUCUGUGGCUGUUGGGCCUUUAGGUUCCACAAUCCCCAUGGCUUAUUAUCCAGUCGGUCCCAUCUAUCCACCUGGCUCCACAGUGCUGGUGGAAGGAGGGUAUGAU
rnacentral:sRNA from 1 species